UUUACAACAAGCAGUCUUUCAACUCAAGUUUAAUAUGUAGCGUUCCUUCAUGAAUCAAGUAAUAGUAUAGUUUAUUAGUAAAUAUGGAGAGAUGUAUAUUACUUAUUCUUUUCUUAGUCAAAGGUGUAUUUGCUGAUAGCAUUAAACCAGACAAGGAUACAAAUAUACUCAAGACUGAAGGAGAAUCUGUGACACUGAGCUGCACAUAUGAUGCAAGCAGCAAUUAUGUUUAUCUUUACUGGUACAGACAGCAUAACAGUGAACCUCAGUUUAUACUGCGGAAAGGAGCUCGAUCAUACAGUGGUGAUGAUGAUAUACCAGACCCACGGUUUAAGUCAACAACAUCUCGAUCAUCUACUGAACUCAUUAUUGACAGUGUAACUCUGUCAGAUUCAGCUUUAUAUUACUGUGCACUGAGAGUUGGAGCCCAGUGAUACAAAAUACCUGAUAGUCUUUACAAAAACUCACACACAGUUAUUGCUUUGAACAAUUUUUAAUAAAACCACAGUCGUUCUUAAUGUGAACCACAAAACUCUUAAACAUGACAGAAUACAGUAACACCUGCUGAAAGUUUAAUCAAAGGAUAAAAGUGAACAUGUGCAGUUGUUGUACUGAAGUGUAUGUAAGCAAAUGAGCGGAUGAAGUGCAAACACUGAUCACAAUGAUGUUGGUUUG